AGGAAGGAGGGGACGACGUCAAGUCCUCAUGGCCCUUACGGGUUGGGCUACACACGUGCUACAAUGGUGGUGACAAUGGGAUAAUCCCCAAAAGUCAUCUCAGUUCGGAUUGGGGUCUGCAACUCGACCCCAUGAAGUCGGAAUCGCUAGUAAUCGCGUAACAGCAUGACGCGGUGAAUACGUUCCCGGGCCUUGUACACACCGCCCGUCACACCAUGGGAGUUGGGUCUACCCGAAGGUGGUGCGCUAACUCGCAAGAGAGGCAGCCAACCACGGUAGGCUCAGCGACUGGGGUGAAGUCGUAACAAGGUAGCCGUAGGGGAACCUGCGGCUGGAUCACCUCCUU
rnacentral:rRNA from 1 species